GCAGCCAUGGCCUAAUGGUAAGAGAAUUGGAUUUGGGAUCCAAAGUUGCAGGUUUGAGUCCUGGUAUAAGCA
rnacentral:tRNA from 1 species